rnacentral:rRNA from 1 species
UACGAGGGGGGCGAGCGUUGUUCGGAAUUAUUGGGCGUAAAGGGUGCGUAGGCGGUUUGGUAAGUCUGAUGUGAAAUCUAUGGGCUCAACUCAUAGUCUGCAUCGGAAACUGCCGGGCUUGAGUGUGGGAGAGGUGAGUGGAAUUCCUGGUGUAGCGGUGAAAUGCGUAGAUAUCAUUUGGAACGCCAAUGGUGAAAACAGGUAGCUGGGGAUGUGCUGACGCUGAGACACGAAAGCCAGGGGAGCAAACGGG